rnacentral:tRNA from 1 species
GCAGGUAGCAUAGUGGUUAGCGCUCCUGGCUUUGAGCCCAGAAGGUAAUAGGUUUGUUUCCUGUCUCUACCUGCA